AUCCCUUUAUUUAUUUCCAAAUGUAUCUCUAGCUAGCUUUCUUUCUCGACCGUAUGUUCUGUAGCUACAUACCUACAAUAUCGAUUUAUCUUUGCUGCUGCUAGUUCUGCAGCAAUACCUACAAUAUAAACUUUAGCAAGUUAAUGCAUUCAUUACUCAACCAAACAUCUUCCAAACAAAUGGAACGAAAGAAUCACAACUCCAUGACGACCCACAGAAGACGCUGAAACAAAAAUAAAUGCAACUCAUGCUUCCUAUUCUUCACGUCGUCAGUUGCAGCAGUGCGAGGGCGGGUUGCGCCCUGAUUUGGCAGCGCCGAGUAUCCCGACCCCGUCCUCCAGCAGCAAGCCGUCCAUCCCGUCCCCCACCAGCGGCCUCACCGCGGCGGCGAGGGCGCCCAGGACUUGCACCACGAGCAGGAGCAGCAGCGCCGCCUUCAUUGCCUUGCCCGUGUACUACUUCUGACAAACUAUGUAUUAAGAGAAGCAGAAGCAACUUUUUUUUCUUUGCUCGAAGC
rnacentral:lncRNA from 1 species